GCCGUCACCUCGGGGUGCCCCAACGGGCUGAGAUGCGCGGCGACGCGCGAACCCGUCGAACCUGAACCGGUCAGCACCGGCGGAGGGAAGGUCGUGGGAGCCGCC
rfam:Wenxinia saemankumensis strain DSM 100565 genome assembly, contig: Ga0131179_104